AUAAAGAAGCGGAGCAGAGGGAGGUGUGGAUUCAGAAGAGUUGAGGGUCUAAUUUCAAUUUUAUGUAUUUCUGUAAUUUAUUUAAAUAGCAAGUCGUCCCCAAAUUUAAUGGUAAUUUAGUCCUCCUUUACCUUAGAUUUGCAGUGCACUUUAAAUGGGCGAUAAUGAUGAUUAUUAUGAUGGUGACGGGAGAAUGGAUUCCCUGGGAGCAACACCUGAAGUCAUCUAUAAUUGGGUUGACAUAACAUCAGAUUUCUUCAGUCAUAUUCAAGACCUUCAACUUGGAGAGUUACUUCAUGAUGGGCACUUGUUUGGCCUCUUCGAGGCCAUGUCGGCCAUUGAGAUGAUGGACCCCAAAAUGGAUGCCGGGAUGCUCUGCAACCGAGGCAAUCCUAAACCAUUGAACUUCCAGCAAGCAGUUGCUGCUGGAAAGUUGAAAAUAGAUGAUCUAGAGCCGUCCGAGCUAAUAGGCAUCAUUGAUGCCACAAUGGCUUGCAUAGUCUCGUGGUUGGAAGGACAUUCCCUCGCUCAGACAGUGUUCACCAACCUCUAUCUACAUCAACCUCAUUCUAUCAAUAACAAGACUUUGAAAGCAUAUUGUAUUGCUGUGUAUAAACUGCUGGAUUGCAUCAGGGAUUGUAUUAACAAGGCCCAAGUGUUUGAAGAGGAAGACUUCCAACCCAUGGGUUACGGUUAUCGUCUGGGCUCGAACCCACAGUCAGGUAACACAUAUGACGCACGUCUUGAAGUCAGUGAGCAGAAGUGCGUGCUGAUGCUUAGAGAGCAAGAGGAGGAACUCAAUAAGAAGGCUAGGAGUUCUGAUGACGAGGACAAUCUAUGGGCAGCCUUACAAGCCCGCAUCAGAUUCACCAGGAUGUUCUUCCAAGCUCUCCUGAUGAUCACAAAGAGAGACUCGCAGUCCGGAGCCGAUUGCGUCGCCCUGCUCAAUGGCUGCUCGGAGAUGAUGAAGGUCAUUAUCAAGACCUCGGGGAAAGGAACACAGCCUGUGGAGAAUUCUGACUCCCCAAAUCCCAUGGGGUUCGAGCCGAUGAUCAACCAGCGCCUGUUACCGCCCACGUUCCCUCGCUACACGCGCAUCAAGCACCGGGCCGAGGCGCUGCACUACUUCGACGAGCUGGUCGCCAGGCUGAGGCAUGCGUGGAAGAUCACUUCCUGCACCAACUUCCAUACCGCGCUGGACUUCUUCAUGGAGUUCAGCCGUCAGCGUGCGUGCAUCUUGUCUCGCUCAGCUCUGCAGCUGCUGUACCUCAGCCCGUCGCCCGCCAACACGGCGGCGAUGGCUCAGAGCGCUAUGAACGGGCCCGCUGGCCAGCCAAGGCCGCAUCAUCCCUUUGUGGAAAUACUCAGAGAAUCUGUAAAGAAUUUCGUCAACCCGCCCGCUUUGACCCCGAAGUCGCCUAUGGUUUCUACGCCGCAAGCUCGGGAAUUCGUAGAGAACUUCCUGGCUCGUUGCGUACGUCCGUUCGCGGUGCUGCUACAGGUGUGCGGACACAACCGCGCGAGGCAGCGGGACAAGCUCGCGUUGUUGUUGGACGAGUUCGCUGCACUGCAGGAGGAGGCGGAGGGCGUGGACGCGGUGGUGAGCGGCGCGGCGGGCACGGGCCCGCGCGCCUGCUUCGGCACGUGGCUGCUGUACCACGUGCUGCGCGUCAUGAUCGCGUACUUACUGUCCGGCCUCGAGCUAGAGCUCUACAGUGUGCACGAGUACCAUUAUAUCUUCUGGUACUUAUACGAGUUCCUAUACGGCUGGCUGGUAUCAGCGCUGGGCCGGGCUGAGAACCUCGCAGGCGACGCGGCUCGACGCGACGCCCGCGACUCGCGCAAGCAGCGCAAGAGCAAGAAGCGAGUGCGGCCAUACGCCAGGGAGGGACUGCUGUGCAACGUCAUGCAGAACAUGUGCGGAGGGUAUUAUAAGGCGCUCGUAGCGUUCAAGCUACAAGGCAAGAUCCGUCAGCCGCAGUCGGAGUUCGACAACGAGGCGGUGCGGUACAAGCACCGGUUUGCGCCUCUGUCCGUGCUGACGCCGCCGCAGGUGCACUACCACGAGUUCUGCGAGAUGACGCAGCCGCUGCAAUACGAGAACCCUGUGAUACUAUAUCUCGGUGGAUGCAAACACUUCCAGCAGGCUCGCUCUUUGCUUGAAACCAUCACAACACCAGAUCAGGAAGUUCAAGAUCUGCUGAAGGUAGCCAAAACAAAUUUCGUAGUAUUAAAGCUGUUAGCCGGAGGACACAAACGGGACUCAACGGUGCCACCAGAAUUCGACUUUUCAGUACAUAGACAUUUUCCUAUUAUAAAACUAGUGUAGUAUAUUAAUAUCAAAAGUUGACAAACUCCUUUUAAUGAACAAAGCAGCUAUUUGUUGUGGAGCUGUGUAGCUAGUCUUUUUAUAAAUGUCUUUUGAGAAAAAGGCAAGAUGAUAAAAUAUAGGUGUCACAUCUUCUUUAGAAAUAAAAGGUACUUUAAAUAUCUCGAAUGUUCCAUUCUACUCCAGGGAAUUCUUAACUCCUAAGACUCAAGUAUCAAGAUUGUUCACUCUCUAGUUUAUGUAACAGAUUAUAAUUUAUCAAAGUACAGAUUAUACAAGGACUCCUAAAUGCAACAUUAUGUAAAUUAAAUUGUAUUGAUUUAUUAUAUUAUCGUGUGUAUAGACGGAAAUUUUAAAUAUAAAUGAUUUUUUAAAUGUGCAAUAAAAAUCAUUAAAAUAUAA
rnacentral:misc_RNA from 1 species